rnacentral:lncRNA from 1 species
AAUAACCAAAAACCAAAACAAACCAGUGAAACAAAAGAACAUAAGCUAAGCCAAAAAGAGAUAAAGAUAAUAAAUAAACAGGGAAUAUAUACAAGGGAAGAAACUAGAAAUAAACAAGGAAGAAAACUAUAAACGAGAAAACAAGAAAUAAACAAGGAACUAAGGCUAUGAGAGAACAAGGAAACACUGAGAAAAGCUAUUAAACACUGAGAGAGACAAACGACAGGUGAAGGUGCGAAGACCGACGGAGGACAAGUGACAGAGGAGGGCUAUUUAACCAAACAGGACACACACUAGAAUUGGAAACACCUGGGGAAGGGGCGGAGCUACAAAUGAGACAUGUGGUGGAAAACUACUGACAGGAGACACAGAGGAGCACAGGUCACGUGGGAAUAACACACAGAGACAUGAGACAAGACCAGGACGUGACAGGGAGAAGGAUUGGCCUGUGGCUUCUGGAGGACAGUGGUUGGCACUAAGGGCAGCACCGCGGAGGCAGCUGCCGGAGUGGCCUGUGGAGAAGCAGACCGAGUGCCAGGUCAGUGUUUUGGUAGCUGCCAGCUGCCCCUGUCCUGACCUUUUCUCCUGUCAGUAUUUAUUCAAACUUUGUACACAUAAAAACUCAUUGAGAAAACGGCAAGGAAUGUCUGAAUGGCCACAUAUUGUAACUUUAAUCUGAUAGGAAACAAAGGGCCG